rnacentral:rRNA from 1 species
UACAGAGACUGCAAGCGUUAUUCGGACUCACUGGGCGUAAAGGGUGCGCAGGCGGUCGGGUGUGUCAGAUGUGAAAUCCCGAGGCUCAACCUCGGAACUGCGUCUGAAACUACUCGACUAGAGUACUGGAGAGGGUAACAGAAUUCACGGUGUAGCAGUGAAAUGCGUAGAUAUCGUGAGGAACACCAGAGGCGAAGGCGGUUACCUGGACAGUUACUGACGCUCAGGCACGAAAGCAUGGGGAGCAAAAGGG